UGCAGAGUGGCUGAACAGGAAUUCUGGGAUAGCUCCUUAUUCCCUGGAGGACAGGGUUACCUUGUGGACAGGGGAAAGCAGUAGCAGAGCUUUGGAUACUGUCUCACAUGACCCUCUAGAGAAGUAUAGCCUAGAUGAGCCUACUAUAAGUGCAGGAGACUGGUCUAAGGACCUAUCGACAUCCCUUCCAGUCCUACAUUUCUAUGAUUCUAUGCUGAGGGCACAUCAAGAAACCCAAAUCCCAGAGAAGAUGAGCCAGAAAAUCUCUUUUGUUGUUACAGCGAGGCUCUCGAGAGAGACAGGCUGCGCUGGGUGGCAUGAACCACAACACUCAUUCUUUUCUCAUGUGGUUCCACUGAGGGUUAGCAAUUGAAGCCAGUUUCCUCUCCCCUGUGACA